UGUGUGCCAGGAAUCAAAGCUGGAGGAGCGGAAGUCAAAUACUUCAUGUUGAUCUGUCUUUGGGAUCACUGAGCCAAUCUUCAGCUAUACUGUUCAGCUCAUCUGAUAUACAGGGAGUCCACGGAGCCUCCCCUGCAAGCAUCAGUACAGAAGUCGAUGAUAAUCUGGAUGCAAGCCCAGGAGUGUGGAGUCCACUGACUCAGAAGACCUGCAUCUAAGGAAUUGGCUGUUCUUAUCCUUAAGAAUGAUGACUGUGUUUCCAAUUCCAGUAGACCCUUUGAUGCGUUCUGAAUAAAUAUUCCUUUUGGAAUUGAACUUCUAGAGCCCUUAACUUUGG
rnacentral:lncRNA from 1 species